rnacentral:siRNA from 1 species
AGCAUUUGCCAAGGAUGUU